GUUUAUCAAAAACAUGUCUUUUAGAAUUGAAUUUAAAGUCUAACCUGCCCACUGAAUUUUAAAUGGCCGCAGUAUUUUAACUGUGCAAAGGUAGCAUAAUCAUUAGUCUUUUAAUUGAAGGCUGGAAUGAAUGGUUGAAUGAAAUAUUAACUGUUUCAUAAAAAUUUAUAGUAGAAAUUUAUUUUUUAGUUAAAAAGCUAAAAUAUUAUUAAAAGACGAGAAGACCCUAUAAAUCUUUAUAUUUUAUUGGGGUGAUAUUAAAAUUUAAUAAACUUUUAAUUUAUAUUUACAUAAAUUAAUGAAUUUAUGAUCCGUUAUUAACGAUUAAAAAUUUAAGAUACUUUAGGGAUAACAGCGUAAUUUUUUUAGAGAGUUCAUAUGAUAAAAAAG
rnacentral:rRNA from 1 species